AAGGGGAGGCUGCGCGGGGGGGCCCAGCUCCUGCUGAACAGGAAGGGGAGGCUGCGCGGCGGGGACUUGGGGCCCCGCACGGGCUUGGACAGCGCGUACAGGUGCCGGAACUCCUCGUCGAACAGCUCCACGACCUGGCCCGUGAACUUGGAGAGGAGGUUGCGGUGAACCUGGCCACACAACCACGUGAAGCUGGAAGCAGAGACAAGACAAUGGAGUACUUAAAACUAUCAUCACCUGAGAGGUGACAUGGGAUUAGAGAGUCUUCUAAAGAAGGGGAUGGAGCCCAUCAAGUAACUACUGUCUAAUACUCCCUAAGAAUAGUUCACCCAGUACCAACUUAGAGAGAAAAAAUAAAUCAACUCAGAAGAACGGGGGUGCUGUCCACAUAAUAUGGAGCCAGAUGCUGAAAUGUGCAGAAUAAGCUGUAAGAGGAAGAUUUUUCCAGGAAGUAGGACAUCAAGAUUUCGAAGAUCUGCUACUCUUGGAUUUACUGCCUAACACUAAGCAAGGCAAUCAUUUUGUAUUAUCACUUGGAUGUAAAUUCACAGUUAAACUAAACACCUAAAACUGUGCAGGAUAUUGGCAGGCUGAUUAAAGACUGCAGAGCACUUGCAGAAUGCUCUGACCAUGGUUAUACAAAAUGCUGAUAGCUCUCUGAGAUGCAGAAUAUGCUACUCAGCACUUGCAUGGGGCUGUGGGGGCAUGUUACAAAGUCUGAGUGAACACCAGAAGGAGAGUCAUACAUCCAUGGUGCAGACUAGAGAUAGAACUAAUUGCACCUCACUGUUAAGCCUAUUCUUUUUUUCAAUAAAAGGACCAUAAAAAUGAAACUAGAAAGAUAAGAUAUUUUAAAUUAUAAUUAAAAUCUAAUGAUGUGAGGGGGGGGGGGUU